AUCGUUCCUUGGUUUUGAACUUAUAUAAAGGUUUAAAACCAAGGAACAAUUCACGGGCUUGAAACUCCAACAAAAUUUUGAACCAUGCAUCAUAAGUUCAAAACAAAGGAACGAUCGUAAGGUUUGAAAUAUCAGCGAAAUUUGAACUCCAUAAAUUGUUCCUUGAGAUUUCCUUGUCAAUCUUUCGAAUUCUAGCAGUUUCUGCUGAAGUUGUUUCGUGUUUAAGUUGGAGGUAUUAUUUUUCAAUUUUUUUUGGUAUCAAAAGAGUGGUCAAAUAUUAAUAAUUUUUAAAAGAGAUAAUGGUCAAAAAUACACCUGAACUAUCAUUUUUUCGCGAGUUUCAUACCCCAACUAUCAACUGUUCCCUUUUACUACUUAAACUAUCACCAUCUAUGUAUUAAAACACACCUAGUUGAGUAGAUAGUGAUAGUUCAAGGAGAAAAAGAGAACAACUAAUAGUUGACCUAAUCAACUUCGAGGUGCGCUUUAAUACAUAAAUGACGAUAGUUCAGGUAGGAAAAGGAAACAGUUGAUAGUUUUUUUUUAAGCCAAUCACUAAGUGAAUACUUAGUGGAGGUAUUUAUUAAAUAAAAUAAUUCUGCUCCACAAACAAAACAAGACAAAAGAAAUAGCACAGAAGCAUCUUGAAACCAGAAACCAAUGAUUCAUCUACCAAAAUUCACACCCACCAAUCUUAGCCCGAUUGAAAGAUCCAGCUGAAAUUCCUUGUCAAUAGCAGUACAAGCUCGAUUUCAGCUAAAAGCAGGCCUGAUUUCAGUUAUGAUGUUCAUCGAUAUCCGCAUUUAGCAUUUGCAGAAGAUUUCUCACCAACCUCUGAGAUAUGCUUGGUCCCUGCCUCUGAUGCAUUAACAGAUUUUGUGCUAUCUGCUAUUUGAGGAUUUAAAAUAUUGGCAUAAUUCAUCUUGUUCGAGGCCGGUUGGGCGUUUUCCCCUUCAUGUUGUGAUGCUGACCAACCCCCAUGGAGGACUGGCCAAUGGCCAUGGUUCAAGUUUGAGAUUUUAAGUUUUUAGGGUUUGCAUGAAAAUAGGUUGGAGUGUCAAAAUCACGGGAAAAAAAAGUGGUAGUUUAGAUUUUUUUUUUUUUUUUUAAACCAUUAACUCUUUUGAAAAUAGUGAUUAAAUAUUUGAUAGAAUGUGUUGGAUAUU